rnacentral:rRNA from 1 species
ACAGAGAGUGCGAACGUUGUUCGGAAUUACUGGGCUUAAAGCGCACGUAGGCGGCAUCGUAAGUGUCCGGUGAAAUCCCACGGCUCACCCGUGGAACUGCCAGGCAUACUGUGAUGCUCGAGCGUGGUAGGGGAGAGCGGAACUCCUGGUGGAGCGGUGAAAUGCGUAGAUAUCAGGAGGAACACCGGUGGCGAAGGCGGCUCUCUGGUCCACAACUGACGCUGAGGUGCGAAAGCUAGGGGAGCAAACGGGA